AGCACAUCAAGUGGGCGGUGAACCAGAAGCUUGGAGUGAUGCCUGGGGUGCAGUGCAGGGACGGGCCGUUCGGCAAGAAGCAGCUCUACCAGAUCUACCUUUGCGUCGACAAGAACGGGGAGGCCUUCAUCGACUGUCCCAAGCUGCCCAAACUGCAGUGCCCUGAGGAGGUCCUCUUCCACCCCUUCCACACGUGGAUGCUCAACGCCACAUCGCCUGCCAAGAUCAUGUUGCCCACCAAGGCCUGAGAGCCACCCACCCAGCCGGCGCUUCACCUGAGAGUACGUACUACUGUGGCCUGGAGCAUUAUAUCGUGCUUGUUGCUCCGGUGAAUAAAUAAAUGGAUGGUUGAAUAAAUAAAA
rnacentral:lncRNA from 1 species